rnacentral:rRNA from 1 species
GAUGAACGCUGGCGGCGUGCCUAAUACAUGCAAGUCGAGCGAACGGACGAGAAGCUUGCUUCUCUGAUGUUAGCGGCGGACGGGUGAGUAACACGUGGAUAACCUACCUAUAAGACUGGGAUAACUUCGGGAAACCGGAGCUAAUACCGGAUAAUAUUUUGAACCGCAUGGUUCAAAAGUGAAAGACGGUCUUGCCGUCACUUAUAGAUGGAUCCGCGCUGCAUUAGCUAGUUGGUAAGGUAACGGCUUACCAAGGCAACGAUGCAUAGCCGACCUGAGAGGGUGAUCGGCCACACUGGAACUGAGACACGGUCCAGACUCCUACGGGAGGCAGCAGUAGGGAAUCUUCCGCAAUGGGCGAAAGCCUGACGGAGCAACGCCGCGUGAGUGAUGAAGGUCUUCGGAUCGUAAAACUCUGUUAUUAGGGAAGAACAUAUGCGUAAGUAACUGUGCACAUCUUGACGGUACCUAAUCAGAAAGCCACGGCUAACUACGUG